rnacentral:rRNA from 1 species
UACGUAGGUGGCAAGCGUUAUCCGGAUUUACUGGGUGUAAAGGGAGCGUAGACGGUUGCACAAGUCUGGAGUGAAAGGCGGGGGCCCAACCCCCGGACUGCUCUGGAAACUGUGUGACUGGAGUGCAGGAGAGGUAAGUGGAAUUCCUAGUGUAGCGGUGAAAUGCGUAGAUAUUAGGAGGAACACCAGUGGCGAAGGCGGCUUACUGGACUGUAACUGACGUUGAGGCUCGAAAGCGUGGGGAGCAAACAGG